UUUUUAUGUGGCGAAGUCUCCAGUGGUCCUCUCAGUUGCUUCUCUUUGUUGAUAUUCGUUCUUCCACUGUCGUCUGUAUCCUAAUUCUUUUUUAUAACAUCAACAUAGGGUUCAAACUUUUCUAAAGCACGCAAACCACUGGUUUGGUGAUAUCUCCGCAACCGCUGGCGUUUCCUACGGUGGUGAAUAACACAUGUUUAAAUCAGAAACCGAAUCAAGUUAUCUAGGGUUUAUUUCUUCUCUGUACCUAUAACCACCACUGCAAAAAGGUUCUAAUAUCUGAUCUACACUGGCCGAAGAAGUAAGCUAUUACACAAAUACAAUCUUAUUUUACAAUAUCAAUAGUUCUCGUGAUCUACUCUGCUUCCUGCAUCUAUUCGCAGACCAGAAGGCGUUUUUAAAGCAACCGAAAGUCUUCAUCUGGUUAGACGCGGACCUUAGACCUUUAGGAUUAGUUCGAAGAAGAGCGGCAAAGGAAAAAGGUCUGGAUAUGGGGAAGUAGUUCUAGAAGAGUAUUGGUCUUGGAUUUAACCUGAGAGAGGCUAUUAAAGGCUACGGGAUUGGAAUUUCCGGUGAUCCCGCCUCAUAUUGUGACCAGAAAAGUGAUUCAGGGUUCCUUUAGGGCUAUAUGAAAUUCUUGAUAUAUAUGUUAACAGAGAAACUGAAGGAACAGUGGAAGUAGGUUAGAAGCCACCUGUGUGGCAGAUGUGUGGAAAAGGGGGGCCACGCUGUUGGGUUAUCAUCGGUAACCCACGCGUUUUGGAGAAAGCGAGAGAAAGGGAAGAAGCAACCGGUAAACACAAUAGAGAUAGAGAGAGAACGAUGUGAGAGAACGAUGAUAGAGAUGAGGGAGAGAGAGGGAAAGAGAGAGACAGAGAGUGUCACGUAGCCGGCCAUGGCCUCCGGCAGAUCGCUCAACACAGCAGCGGCGGCAGUGGAUUUUAGGGUUCCGACGACCCUCUUGGUACUCCGACGAGAAGCUCCAGGCUUGAAUGCCACUUUCCGGUUAGAACGGCUGCAACCAGAGUUAGAUAGACAUCGAGUUUAGGCGACGACCAACCCUCUGACGAACGAAGUUCAGCCUGGGAAUGGAGGCAAAAAGGAGAAGAUAAUUUAUGCAGUUUUUUUGCUAACUUGUCGGAAGCUUUGGCGAAACAGAAACGAGAGUAUUUUCGAUAAAAAGUUCACUUCAGUAGCGAUCUUGGUCGAUGACAUAAAGGUUGAAUCCUUUUGGUGCAUGGUGAAGCGAAACAAACUCACUGGCUAGACAUGGAAAGAUAGUGCAGAUUCGAGUGGAUAGACUUUUACCUAGCAUUUGGUUUGUUUCUUUGUUUUUGUUUUGGGUCUGUCCAGUUUUGUUUGGGGUCUGUAGCUUCUCUUAGCUUCUUGCUAACAGAGCAGUGGUUGUUUUUAUGGAAUAAAGAUCUCUAUCGAGUGAUUGUUUAAAAACCAACUACAACUGGUCUGUAUUAUGUAAUCAUGACUACAUAUAUGUUUUAUGGUUAAACGUCUACUGAAGUUAUGUUCA